rnacentral:rRNA from 1 species
AAUUGUGGCCGGGAGAGGCAGCCGCGCCCCGACUGGUGCUGUCGAAGUUGACCUGGAAAGGCACGUCAGAGAGGGUGAGAGCCCCGUGCGCGACACCGCCGGUCGGGGACGCUACUGUCUUCGGAGAGUCGGGUUGUUUGGGAAUGCAGCCCAAAGUGGGUGGUAGACUCCAUCUAAAGCUAAAUACCGGCACGAGACCGAUAGCGAACAAGUACCGUGAGGGAAAGGUGAAAAGUACUUUGAAAAGAGAGUCAAAAAGACCGCGAAACCGUUAGGAGGGAAACGAAUGCAGCUGAAGUGGCUUGCCGUCAGGCUCAGGAGGCGUCGGCGUGUCGCGCGUCCCCGUGGGGGUGUCUCCCCCGGGUGGCGUCUGGCUGCCGACAAAUCUGCACUUCUGCGGGAAGCCGGCCAACGGCAGUCGCUCGCGGCUCAGAAGGGCGUCUGGGGAAGGUGACUCCGCGCCUCGUGCGUGGGGAGCUUACAGCCCGGCGUCUGGCAGUCUGGGAGCGACUGAGGAGAGUUGCGUGUCCCUUUCGCACUUGCGGCGCAGGCCCUCGGGGCUGGGCCCCUCCUGUCGGGUUGGCGGCCGACUUGGUCCACUGCGUGCAGUGGCCGGGGACGGUCUCGUCUUCCGGGUGGGAUGCGGGUCACACCUUGCGCCGUGGCCGUUGGUGCCCGAAUGGCUGCAUCCGACCCGUCUUGAAACACGGACCAAGGAGUGCAACAUGCGCGCGAGUCUUAGGGUGGCAAACCCCUCGGCGCAAUGAAAGUGAAGGCAGGCGUCUGGUCUGCUCGGGCGAGAGCCCCCUCCUCUCGGGGGGCGCAUCGUCGACCGAUCCCAGGCUACGCUGUGGCGGGAUUUGAGUGAGAGCGUGCCUGUUGCGACCCGAAAGAUGGUGAACUAUGCCUGAAUAGGGUGAAGCCAGAGGAAACUCUGGUGGAAGCUCGCAGCGAUUCUGACGUGCAAAUCGAUCGUCAAAUUUGGGUAUAGGGGCGAAAGA